AGGGCGUGCUAAUCUGCGAUAAGCGCCGGUAAGGUGAUAUGAACCGUUAUAACCGGCGAUACCCGAAUGGGGAAACCCAGUGUGAUUCGUCACACUAUCAUUAACUGAAUCCAUAGGUUAAUGAGGCGAACCGGGGGAACUGAAACAUCUAAGUACCCCGAGGAAAAGAAAUCAACCGAGAUUCCCCCAGUAGCGGCGAGCGAACGGGGAGGAGCCCAGAGCCUGAAUCAGCAUGUGUGUUAGUGGAAGCGUCUGGAAAGGCGCGCGAUACAGGGUGACAGCCCCGUACACAAAAGCGCAUGUGCUGUGAGCUCGAUGAGUAGGGCGGGACACGUGGUAUCCUGUCUGAAUAUGGGGGGACCAUCCUCCAAGGCUAAAUACUCCUGACUGACCGAUAGUGAACCAGUACCGUGAGGGAAAGGCGAAAAGAACCCCGGCGAGGGGAGUGAAAAAGAACCUGAAACCGUG
rnacentral:rRNA from 1 species